UGCCUCUUCCCCUGGCACUAAUCCC
rnacentral:miRNA from 8 species